GCCUGAUUAGCUCAGCCGGUAGAGCACUCGGCUGUUAACCGAUAGGUCGUAGGUUCGAGUCCUACAUCAGGCG
rnacentral:tRNA from 1 species